UACAUCCUUCUACCUCUCUCUCUCUCUCUCUCUCUUUUCGUUUUGGAAGCUCGUCCGAGAGCUACUCGCCAUGCUCAUAAUCAUCGUCGCGGCCACAGACUUCCCCGAUGAAUGAAAAGAUGCCGAGGAGCUGCACCAUCGACGUCUCCUUCGACUAGUGCUCCCGGUUCAAGCGGGGAAGCACUGCAUCGCUGGGAUCGACGCUUCUUCUUCUCUUACGGCUACCGCUACUCCGCGCCCGAUCUACCUCACUGGAGCUCAUCCACCAUGUCGGCCGCAUCCUCUGCCUCCCCUUUAAACCCCGAGACCGCUGCCAAUACCCUCGUGAUCGACUACAUCGACGACUCCUCCUCCUUCUUGCUAGAGCAACCAGGAGCUAGUGGAUCCCGAGGAUGAUUCUACGUGGAUUUCGACUUCGAGGAG